ensembl:lncRNA
CGCUGGACGUUAUUUUUUGGUCGGUUUAACUUCACUCUGACUUACAGGCCUAGGUCUCGUAAUGUAAAGCCUGAUGCUCUUUCUCGACAGUUUUCUGGUUCUGAGGAAUCUAAGACUCCUGAGCCUAUCCUGUUUGGUGGCAUCACUUACCUGGCAGGUGGAGACUAAGGUGUUGCAGUGGGGCCACACCUCCAAGAUUGCCUGUCAUCCGAGAUAUAAUCGUACCCUGGAGAUUCUGCGACAGAAGUUUUGGUGGCCCACCACGGACAAGGAUGUCAGAGAAUAUGUGAAGGCCUGUACGGUUUGUUCAAGGAACAAGACGUCCAACCAAUCCAUCUCUGGACUCUUGCAACCGCUGCCUAUUCCAAAACGUCCUUGGUCUCACAUCGCAGUAGAUUUCGUCACGGGAUUGCCUCUGUCUCAAGGUAAAGCUGCUGCUGACCUUCUACAACUCAUCCAUAGAGAGCCUGUUGACGUACUGUGUUUCCACCUGGUACGGGAGCUGCACUGAGGCAGACAGAGUGAGGCUUCAGAGGACAGUCAAAGCAGCACAGAGGAUUGUUGGCUGUCCUCUCCCCUCCCUCAUGGACAUCUACCCCACCCGGUGCCUCAGCAGAGCUCAGAACAUUAUCAAGGACAGUUCACAUCCCGGUUCUCAGCUUUUUGAUCUGUUGCCCUCUGGAAGGCGCUACAGAAGCAUUAAAGCGAGGACAAACGGACUUAAAAACAGUUUCUUUCAGAGAGCCAUCACCACCCUGAACUCUCACAGGUCUCACACAAAGCC